rnacentral:rRNA from 1 species
AUGAACGCUAGCUACAGGCUUAACACAUGCAAGUCGAGGGGCAGCAUGGUCUUAGCUUGCUAAGGCCGAUGGCGACCGGCGCACGGGUGAGUAACACGUAUCCAACCUGCCGUCUACUCUUGGACAGCCUUCUGAAAGGAAGAUUAAUACAAGAUGGCAUCAUGAGUCCACAUGUUCACAUGAUUAAAGGUAUUCCGGUAGACGAUGGGGAUGCGUUCCAUUAGAUAGUAGGCGGGGUAACGGCCCACCUAGUCUUCGAUGGAUAGGGGUUCUGAGAGGAAGGUCCCCCACAUUGGAACUGAGACACGGUCCAAACUCCUACGGGAGGCAGCAGUGAGGAAUAUUGGUCAAUGGGCGAGAGCCUGAACCAGCCAAGUAGCGUGAAGGAUGACUGCCCUAUGGGUUGUAAACUUCUUUUAUAAAGGAAUAAAGUCGGGUAUGCAUACCCGUUUGCAUGUACUUUAUGAAUAAGGAUCGGCUAACUCCGUGCCAGCAGCCGCGGUAAUACGGAGGAUCCGAGCGUUAUCCGGAUUUAUUGGGUUUAAAGGGAGCGUAGAUGGAUGUUUAAGUCAGUUGUGAAAGUUUGCGGCUCAACCGUAAAAUUGCAGUUGAUACUGGAUAUCUUGAGUGCAGUUGAGGCAGGCGGAAUUCGUGGUGUAGCGGUGAAAUGCUUAGAUAUCACGAAGAACUCCGAUUGCGAAGGCAGCCUGCUAAGCUGCAACUGACAUUGAGGCUCGAAAGUGUGGGUAUCAAACAGGAUUAGAUACCCUGGUAGUCCACACGGUAAACGAUGAAUACUCGCUGUUUGCGAUAUACAGCAAGCGGCCAAGCGAAAGCGUUAAGUAUUCCACCUGGGGAGUACGCCGGCAACGGUGAAACUCAAAGGAAUUGACGGGGGCCCGCACAAGCGGAGGAACAUGUGGUUUAAUUCGAUGAUACGCGAGGAACCUUACCCGGGCUUAAAUUGCAGAUGAAUUACGGUGAAAGCCGUAAGCCGCAAGGCAUCUGUGAAGGUGCUGCAUGGUUGUCGUCAGCUCGUGCCGUGAGGUGUCGGCUUAAGUGCCAUAACGAGCGCAACCCUUGUUGUCAGUUACUAACAUGUUCCGCUGAGGACUCUGACAAGACUGCCAUCGUAAGAUGUGAGGAAGGUGGGGAUGACGUCAAAUCAGCACGGCCCUUACGUCCGGGGCUACACACGUGUUACAAUGGGGGGGUACAGAGGGCCGCUACCACGCGAGUGGAUGCCAAUCCCAAAAACCUCUCUCAGUUCGGACUGGAGUCUGCAACCCGACUCCACGAAGCUGGAUUCGCUAGUAAUCGCGCAUCAGCCACGGCGCGGUGAAUACGUUCCCGGGCCUUGUACACACCGCCCGUCAAGCCAUGGGAGCCGGGGGUACCUGAAGUGCGUAACCGCGAGGAGCGCCCUAGGGUAAAACUGGUGACUGGGGCU